AGGAUUAACGCUGGCGGCGUGCAUGAAACAUGCAAGUCGAGCGCGGUGUGAUGCGGGGUAACCCAAUUCACAUCUAGCGGCGAACGGGUGAGUAACACGUGAGCAACCUACCUUUGAGUUGGGGAUAGCCCUGGGAAACCAGGAUUAAUACCCGAUGUGGUCACAACAGGACAUCCUGAUGUGAGUAAAGGCGUAAGCCGCUCAAUGACGGGCUCGCGGCCUAUUAGCUUGUUGGUGGGGUAACGGCCUACCAAGGCGAUGAUGGGUAGCUGGUCUGAGAGGACGAUCAGCCACACUGGGACUGAGACACGGCCCAGACUCCUACGGGAGGCAGCAGUUAGGAAUUUUCCGCAAUGGGCGAAAGCCUGACGGAGCAACGCCGCGUGAGUGAUGAAGACCUUCGGGUUGUAAAGCUCUGUCGGAGGGAAGAACACAAUGACGGUACCUCCAAGAAAGCCCGGCUAACUACGUGCCAGCAGCCGCGGUAA
rnacentral:rRNA from 1 species